UUACUUACCUGUUGCCGGGGCCUCGUUGAUCACCGACGACGAGCCUCCAGGGCGAGGCGCGGGCAUUGUGCUGCACUCGCUUUGAUUCCUGCCACUACUCCAAACUGGGGCAGACGGGGCAUGCAAAUUGC
rnacentral:snRNA from 1 species